rnacentral:rRNA from 1 species
CUGGAACGCGCCCCAGGCGCACCCAGAAACCCUUUGUGAACUUAUACCUUACUGUUGCCUCGGCGCAUGCUGGCCCCCUCGGGGUCCCUUGGAGACAAGGAGCAGGCACGCCGGCGGCCAAGUUAACUCUUGUUUUUACACUGAAACUCUGAGAAAAAACACAAAUGAAUCAAAACUUUCAACAACGGAUCUCUUGGUUCUGGCAUCGAUGAAGAACGCAGCGAAAUGCGAUAAGUAAUGUGAAUUGCAGAAUUCAGUGAAUCAUCGAAUCUUUGAACGCACAUUGCGCCCUCUGGUAUUCCGGAGGGCAUGCCUGUUCGAGCGUCAUUUCAACCCUCAAGCAUUGCUUGGUGUUGGGGCGCUGCUUUUUACCCAAAAAGCAGGCCCUGAAAUCUAGUGGCGAGCUCGCCAGGACCCCGAGCGCAGUAGUUAAACCCUCGCUUUGGAAGGCCCUGGCGGUGCCCUGCCGUUAAACCCCCAACUUUUGAAAAU